rnacentral:tRNA from 1 species
GGUAGCAUGGCCUAGUGAUUAGGGCACUGGAAUGGGAGUCAGGAGACGUUGGUUCUAAUUCUGACUGCCACUG